rnacentral:tRNA from 1 species
AGCGGGGUAGAGUAAUUGGUCAACUCAUCAGGCUCAUGACCUGAAGACUGCAGGUUCGAAUCCUGUCCCCGCCUA